AUGAAUGGGCAUUGUUCUCCGGGAGUUGGGACAUAUCUUUACAAUUUGGUUUUGGCCAUGCAGCAUGCAGGACCUGAUCCCCAACCAGCGAUAGAACCCGAACCCCCUGCAGUCGGAGCGCCCAUCGCUAAUCACUGGACUUCGAAGGACAUCCCAAAGGGAAGUAUAUUUAAAUCAUUAGCAGGAACUCCUGACCCUUCAAAUCGAGCUCAGAGUAAAAGUCUACAUUCUGGGAUGGAAUGGCAGCAGGUUUGCCACCGUGUGGGUAUACCCAGACGGUGUCCAGUCUGGGGACACCUCUUAGCAAUUUUACCCCCUCAACCCUGCGAGACAGAGAAAGGCUUCACCUCACCCCUGAAGGUUUUGAGGGAGCAGGAGCCCCCCUCACACUCGGCCUGGGCUCAGGUUUUCACCCCUUUGAGGAAAGUGUCAGGACCGGCCCCACAAUUACACGAUGUCACGGAUAAGGGACUUUGCUUGAGCGUGUCCAGAGUAAACAGUUAGGGGUCUGCAUGGGACAACAAGCUGGAGUGUGUCCUCCCAUCCAAAUACCAGCAAAGAAGCCCCUCUCACCUCCAUGAACUCUGAACCCCCUGCUGAGGUCCUGGGGAAGUGGGGGGCACCGGCCAGGGGUCCUCCCAGGAACUUGGCUCAAGGACCAGUGAGGGAGUCAGAGUGACUUCCAGUGGCUGUCAGUUCGGACCCUGUGGUUCCCACCACGAGGAGCCGGGCGGUAGGUCCCGAGGGCCUGGAGCACACAGGAUCCCUCUGAACCCCGAUGUUACCCUCCUCCUUUAAGCUGGCUCAGAUCAGUCUCUGUCCCUUGCAGCUUUGAGAACAAACCACACAAUCUGAAGCCAAGGACAUGGUUUUAAUCUUUUGUAGGCCAGUUGGUUUAAACAUCUUCUCUCAUGGACCAUUCCUCUUAAAAAUGUCUACCAAAGGAAUCUGAGUGACCGUGUGAGGAGCUGUUACGGGCACAGCUGGACGUCCCUUGGUGUCGAGAAAGGAGGUUCUUCUCUAGGUACUGAAGACACAGCAGGAGACGGGACCACAGAUGCCCUUAGGCAGAACCUGCAGUAUCAUUUGCUCUUUAUAACCAAGUUAACUCUGCAACCCCAUCCCUUCCCUAGAAACAAACUUUUCUUACAUGAAACUGGUGUCUUGAGUGGCUACUGGCUCAACAUCUCUCCCAGCAACUGCCUCCCUUUCUAGAGUCCCUGAGCUCUGCCUUAUUCUCCCUGGCCCCAGAUACUUGCUCCUUGGAAGAAAAGCUAUGACAAACCUGCUAAGCUGCUAAGUCACUUCAGUCGUGUCUGACUCUGUGCGACCCCUUAGACGGCAGCCCACCAGGCUCCCCUGUCCCUGGGAUUCUCCAGGCAAGAACGCUGGAGUGGGUUGCCAUUUCCUUCUCCAAUGCAUGAAAGUGAAAAGUGAAAGUGAAGUCACUCAGUCAUAUCCGACUCUUAUUGACCCCAUGGACUGCAGCCUACCAGGCUCCUCU
rnacentral:lncRNA from 1 species